AGUAAUGUCUGGGAAACUGCCUGAUGGAGGGGGAUAACUACUGGAAACGGUAGCUAAUACCGCAUAACGUCGCAAGACCAAAGUGGGGGACCUUCGGGCCUCAUGCCAUCAGAUGUGCCCAGAUGGGAUUAGCUAGUAGGCGGGGUAACGGCUCACCUAGGCGACGAUCCCUAGCUGGUCUGAGAGGAUGCCAGCCACACUGGAACUGAGACACGGUCCAG
rnacentral:rRNA from 1 species